AAAAAGAUAUCUUGAGAUGUUCCCACUUACAAAAAGAGUUGUUGUUGGCAGCCAUAGAUUGCUGUAAUGCUAAUUCCAAAACAGGAGGAUUUGUUGUCUACUCCACUUGCUCAGUGCUUGUGGAAGAGAAUGAAUGGGUCAUUGACUUUGCUUUGAAAAAAAGAAAUGUCAAGCUUGUUCCCUGUGGCUUAGAUUUUGGGAAAGAAGGCUUUGUCAACUUUCAGCAACACAGAUUUCAUCCCAGCCUCAAACUGACCCGAAGGUUCUACCCACACUCCCACAACUUGGAUGGAUUCUUUGUGGCCAAACUGAAGAAGUUCAGCAACAAGAUUCCUGGUGCAGAAUCUAAGGAGGAAAAGACUAAAGAAACAGAGGAAACAGAAAAGCAAGAAAAUGAAUCCAUAAAGGGAGAUAAUGCUGAAGGUAGGA
rnacentral:sRNA from 1 species